AAUCUACUUGAACCUGGAAGUUUCAGGAACAGGAACAAAGGGUUCUGGCAUGAAGACAGAACUUUUCCAUUUACCCCAAGUGCAAGAGGCAAUAAAGUGUCACAAACAUUCAGAAAUGUCAUAAAACAGCCCAGAAGUUUCUUUGAUAUAAUCAGAUCUCCUGGGAUUCCAAAUUUUUCCUUGAGACCUAAAGUACCGACUAAGCCCAUGAAUUUGCUGAGGAAUAAAGGUCAGUCAAGGGAUCUGGGAGGGCAGUGGGAUGUGUAAACACUCCUAAGGCUGUCGUGGUAUGCACUCUGGGGACACAGAAUAGACAGCACCUCUCUGCAGCCACCUUGUGGGUGACUGGGUGAGUAACGGUGCAGAUCUGGAAGUAGCACAGCUGUGUGGACUGAGGUCAUGGCAACAAAGCACAGCAACAGCAGCGUGGCAAAUGGCAGAGGGGGCAAACAAUUCAUGGCAGUGGAAGAUAGCAAAAUCACCAAGGAUGGGGGCAAGACAAGCACAGGUGGAGACUGAGAUUGGGUGCCCCUGGGGGACACAGAGAAUGCACUGACCCCAAAGCACUCUUUCUGGCUUCUUCUCCACUCUUGGUUUUUUCUCCUGGCCCUCCUGGGACCUCCUAAGACCACCUGAAUCAGAGUCCUCUAAACCAGAAAGCCAUCUCUCGUAGGAUUGCUGUUCCUCCCACCUCAGAUGUGCUUUCUCUCUGCAAGGGCACUUUUUUCUGAUUUUUCUGAGAAAGAUCAGGUAAAUCAGGGUAAUCAGUCUUGCUAGUUGAACAACUUUGGUGACCAUGCAGCACAGAGGCUUCUGGGGUAGCCUGGUGUCUGAAGCUGGAGUGAGGAGGGCACAUGGACAGAAGCACUCAAGGACAUUCUUCCUUUCCUAUUUGCUGGCUCAGAGUGCUUGUGUAUCCUCCACUGUAUUCACAUGUUCAAAUCUGCAUUCCUUGGAUGAUGGUAUUAGAAAGUGAGGCCUUUGGGAGAUGAUUAUGUCAUGGGAUAGAGCUCUCAUGAGUAAGAUUACUGCCCUUAGAAGAGAAGCCCCAGAAGCCAGGCAGGUCCUGUGGUCCUAGCUAUUCCAGGGGUGGAGAAUAGGAGACCAUUCCAGUGCAGGAGUCAGAGAACAGUCUGGGAAAACAGUGAAACCCUGUCUCAUAUGAAACAAACAAAUGAACACACAAAAAACCCUAGAGAGCUGUCUUGCUUCUGAGGAAAUAGCUAGAUGGGGCCGUCUAUGAACUGAUAAUGGGCCAUCUAUGAACAGGAAGUGGGCCCUUACCACAUACUGAACCUGGUGUCACUUUGAAUUUGGAAUUCCCAGCUCCAGAACUGUGAAGAAUACAUUUCUGUUGUUUAUAAGCCAUCAAGUAUAUGGAACUUUGUUAUAACAGCCUGAACAGACUGACUAUGAUAUCAUGGUUUUUAUCUCAUUCUCAUUUUCAUAAUUUUCUCAACUUACCCCCAAACCAUCUCUUGAUGCCUCAGCUUCCUUCAGAAUCUGUACUCAUUUCUCUUUUUGUAGAAGAUCCUCAAGAGCAUUUCCAAAGCUCCCUCUCUCUGACCCCUUUUUUUCCUCCUCUUUUGAGCCUGCUUAAGUUAAACUUGUGUCCUCACGAGUCUGCUAAUGCUACCUUUGCCCAAGUCUCGAAUGACGUCUUUGAUGCCCGCUCUAGUGGCUAAUUUUUAGUUCCAAAUAUACCCAUUUUGUUUUCUCAUCUACAAUAUUUCAUGGUGAAAAAUCGGAAGAUACACAGGAAGGUAGACAGAGCAGUAGGUGAAUACUGAUAUACCUCAUACUUCAAAUCUUCAGUUAAUCAUUUUACACUCCUAGGUGUUUCAUAGGCUAGGUUUUUUUGUGUCACAUUGAGCUAAUUUUCCACUGAAUCACAGGAUAUGUUUUUGACUCCAUUAGAAAAAUCACUUUAUCCUGUACUGGGGAGGAAGUGAGAGAAGUGAGAGAAGUGAGAGAAGGCUAAGUGUGAAAUGAUGAGUAGUCAUCUCGGUCAGAUUUUACAAAUGACUGAGUAAUGUAUGCUCUUUGGCAAUUGUUCCAUUGUUCACAUUAUACACGUAAUAAUUCUCUCUUCUUUUUUUUAAAAAAUUUCAGAUAGUAUGAAGGAGGAUGAUACACCUCAGCUUGCAAAGAACAACCAUGGUUUAACAGCACGAUCUCUAGCCAUAAAAUCUGACGAAUGGAAUAGAGCAGUAAUUCCACACAGACCUGCUCUUGUUCAAGUGAUUUUAGUUGCAUGUAUAGCCUUUGGCAUUGCUGUGAUAUGUGGGAUCAUAGUCUUCUGUGUUAUACAUCAAAUAGUAAAGGCAGAGGAAAGACAACAGCUUACACUGCUUUAUGAAAAUGUUCAGAUUCCACUGUUAGGAGACCAGGAGGGCUCUGAGGACAGUGGAUCUGAAGAAUCUACACACCUGCUUCCAGAGAAUGAAAAGGAGCUGGGCAAGUUCAUCAUCUCAGUUAUUAGAUCAAAAAGAAGGGAAAAUAUUGAAAAGGAGAAAUGGAGGGAAGAGGAACAGUUACUGAAUGAAGGGAAUUCUGUAUACAAGGCAAAAACAGAGAAUCUAUGAGAGCAGUAGAAGGCAACACAGGAUGUGCUGGCCAAGGUGAAGAAGAAAUUGCAGCAAUUAUGAACGACUGAGAAGGAAGUGGACCUGCAGAUGGGAACUAUCGUACACAUACCCAGAAGUGGUAAGUGUUACAGGAUGGCAGUUGCACGUGUAGAAUACACAAGACUCAGUCUAAAUGGUUCAGUUGCUUUAAGAAUCUUCUUGAAAAUUCUUCAAAAGUUAACUACAGAGUUACUAUGUGAUCCAGCAGUUCCAUUUGUAGGUCUGUAUUAAAGAGGACUGAAAACACAUGUACAUACAAAAACCUGCACAUAGACAUUUAUAAAAACACUGUUUCUAAGAGUCCAAAGAUAGAAACAACUGAUAUGUCCAUCAAUUUACAAAACAAUGAAUGCAAUAUAAUCUGUACAAUCAAUGGCAUGUUUUAGCAGUAAACAAGAAUGAAAUAUUGAUGUACACUACCACAUAAAGAAACUUCAGAAACAUGAUGCUAAGUGCAAGAAAUCAGAUACACAUAUUGUAUAAUUCUUAUGAUUCAAAAUGUUCUGAAUUGGCAAAGCUAUAAUUGCAGAAAUCUGAUCAGUUGUUCUAGUAGCUGAUAGCUAAGGGACUGCAAAUGGGAAUGGGGUUCCUUCCUGUGAUAAUAAAGAUGCUUAAAAAUUUGAUAGUGAUGAUGUUCAUACAAACUUGGGAAUACACUAACAUACACUGAGCAGUAUGCUCAAAAAGGGCAAAUUUGCACAUGUGAAUUAAGUCUUAAUUAAGCUGUUAUUGAGAAACAAUAUUGAUCUAUGUUGAGAUUAAACUGAAACCAAACUCA